GACGAACGCUGGCGGCGUGCCUAAUACAUGCAAGUAGAACGCAGUGGCGGACGGGUGAGUAACGCGUAGGUAACUGCCUCAUAGCGGGGGAUAACUAUUGGAAACGAUAGCUAAUACCGCAUACUGUGAGAUGGACCUGCGUUGGAGUAGCUAGUUGGUGAGGUAAAGGCUCACCAAGGCGAAGAUACAUAGCCGGCCUGGGAGGGUGAUCGGCCAACCUGGGACUGGGAAACGGCCCAGACUCCUACGGGAGGCAGCAGGAGGGAAUCUUCGGCAAUUGACGGAAGUCUGACCGAGCAAAGCCCCGUGAGUGAAGAAGGGUUUCGGAUCAUAAAGCUCUGUUGUUAGAGAAGCGGUACCUAACCAGAAAGCGACGGCUAACUACGUGCCAGCAGCCGCGGUAAUUC
rnacentral:rRNA from 1 species